GAGUUUGAUCCUGGCUCAGAACGAACGCUGGCGGCAGGCCUAACACAUGCAAGUCGAACGCUGCAGCAAUGCAGAGUGGCAGACGGGUGAGUAACGCGUGGGAAUCUUCCUAUCGGUACGGAAUAGCUCAGGGAAACUUGGGGUAAUACCGUAUACGCCCUUACGGGAAGAUUUAUCGCCGAUAGAUGAGCCCGCGUCUGAUUGCUAGUUGGUGGGGUAAUGGCUCACCAAGGCGACGAUCAGUAGCUGGUCUGAGAGGAUGACCAGCCACACUGGGACUGAGACACGGCCCAGACUCCUAC
rnacentral:rRNA from 1 species